UACUUUUGCAGAGGAAGAGGAGGAAGAGGGCUGCACUAAUGAUUACUGCCACUGCCAAGCACCACUUUUGAGGCUGCAGAAAGCUGUGAAAGAGAGGGAUGAGGCCCUGACCAAGAAAAGUGAGACCAUCCAAUCCAUUAGAGAGGACAACCUGAAGCUGAUCUCUGAGCUGCAUAGAGUGAGGAAGAGGUACCAGCUACUGAAAAGGCAGAUGGGGAUUCUCAGGGUGAGUCCGGCAAAGGAGAGGUCGGCAAAGAGGUCCCUCAGCUUUUAGGCCGAGGCAGACACAGCCCAAGAGGAGCUGCAGCUGGACCAAGUGACAGGUUCAGGGGACCAGACAGAGGAGGCUACAGCGUCCGGAUCUGGCAGCAAACUUAUCUUCCCGGGCUCUGCCAUCAGUGUGUUUCUUGAGGGAUUCAGGAAGACCUGUGAGGGCCCCAAUCCAAAUUAUAAGCUAAGGGAAAAUUGUGCCGGAAAGAUCAAAAGGGUGACGCAAUUGUUGAACUACAUGGCGAAGGAUGAGACCUACCAAUCCAAUCUCAUUUUCCUGACUAACCAUGACAAAAUAAGGGGGUGAAAGACAGCAAGGAAGCCAAGGUGGUUUCCAGAAAGACCCUGCUGGAGUGCCAGUCUCUUGCCAAGGCCAAGAUCCCAGAAGUGCUG